rnacentral:lncRNA from 1 species
UUGACAUGUUCGACAUUUGCGUUGAAAGCAUAAUGUACCAGCUCACCUUCUUCAUUAACCACAUCAUCUGAUGUAAUCACACAUUCUUGCAAUCUUACUGACAUGUGUCUUGUUCUCUGAGGUCUGCUUGGGUCUGCUUCACCUCUGACUUCUUCCUGUCGAACUUUUCUUUCGAAUUCACUAGCUGGUUCAUCGUAAAAGAUUCUCACUAAAUCUAUCUU